CACCGGCGGCUCGAGUGGUGGCCACUUUUAUUGGGUCUAAAGCGUCCGUAGCCGGCUUGGCAAGUCCCCUGGGAAAUCUGGCGGCUUAACCGUCAGGCGUCCAGAGGAUACUGCCAGGCUUGGGACCGGGAGAGGUGAGAGGUACCUCAGGGGUAGGGGUGAAAUCUUGUGAUCCCUGAGGGACCACCAGUGGCGAAGGCGUCUCACUGGCCAGUUACUGACGCUCAUGCGCGAAAGCUGGGGGAGCGAACCGG
rnacentral:rRNA from 1 species